CCCCCAGGCCAUCACAAGUUAUCACAAAUCAUUCCCCGACAUAGCCUACCUUGUCUCGCCACGUGCGCAAUAAUAAAGUAAAUGCCCGCCUUGUUUCACCGCAUGCGCACAAUAAUAUUCUCACCUUAUCUUGCCACAUGCGCAAACCCACAUAUAUAGACCGCCUUGUCACGCCGCAUGUGCAAAUAUCAAUAAUAACAACACAGACAACUCACGUGCGAACAACCCGACAAUCCUCUCAACAAUACCACGUGUGCCAAAACGUAACAACACAAUAAAAUGACUUUCACAACAUGUGCCCAUAUGCCACAACAUUUCCUCAAAACAGUUUCAAUACCACAGCCACGCAUAGCCCUCGGCUCAACAACACCGAGUACAACAACAACAACGAUAACGCAAGAGUACGACAAGUAAAUCAACACAAGAACUUCAGAACACAAAGAAACGGAAGAACGAGCUCACAAAGAAAGACACAACAGGGAGAAUAAUGGUCUCAACAAGAAUAGCUCAACAAGGGAGAGAUAAUGUGUAACAAUGAUUCCACAAGAAUGCAAUUCGACGAUAAGAGAGAUAGCAUGAAUCAAUGACCCCACGUAAGAAUAUGUUACCAAUAAAAGGGAUAACAAAGCUUCAAUUAAGGCCAAGGAAUUACAGAAGAAAUAAUAAUAACUUCAAUUAAGGUUAAGCAAUUACGGAAGAAAUAAUAAUAACUUCAAUUAAGGUUAAGCAACUACGGGAAAGACAACAAGGCAAUAAAGAGGCAACAACUUCAAUUAAGGCACAUAAGAGUUUAAUUGACAACAAGGGUAGAAUAUGAACCAAUCAAUUCCAAAUAAGACACAUAAGGGUGAAUUUAGUAAAUGGAGGAUUUAACUUGCUAAAACAACUUCACAUCUAAUGAACAUAAGAACCUAAGAGCCCUAAACGGUCAAAUUUUCACAAAUAAGCCCGAGUACGUACUCGUCACCUCGCGUACACGUCCUUCACAUGACACAAUUAGCACAAAUGACUCAAAUCCUAAGGGGUAGUUUCCCCCACACAAAGUUAGGCAAGAUACUUACCUCAAAGAAGCUAGACCGUUACUCUAAAAUGACCUUCUCGAGUGAAACAACCUCCGGACGGCUCAAAUCUAGCCAAAAUAACUUCAAAUCAUAAAUAAAACUCAUAGGAAACAAUUCUGGUUAAUAAAGUUUCAAUCUUUAACAAAAACUAAAAAGUCAACCCUGGGCUCGCACUUAGGAACCCGAUAAAAUUCACAAAACCCGGACACCCAUUCCGAUACGAGUUCAACCAUACCAAAAUUAUCAAUUUCAGACAUCGAAUCGCCCUUCAAAUCCUCAUUUUACAUUUUGAAAGAUUUUUACAAAAUUUCCCAUUUUCAUCCAUUCAAUUCACUAAUUUAAUGAUAUAAAUAAGUAUGAAAUCAUGAAAUUUAAUCAAUUUAGGAUAUAGAACACUUACCCCAAUCGAACACGUGAAGAACCCUUCAAAAAUCGCUCAAAUCCGAAGUCUACAACUCAAAAUAUGAUAAAAAUGGUGAAACCCCUGUUUUUAGAAACCUCUCCAGGCAAGUCGCAUUUGACACCUGAGAUUUAUAAAUCGCAUUUGACACCUGAGACUUAUAAAUCGCAUUUGACACUGAGACUUAUAAAUCGCAUUUGACACCUGCGAUCUGCCUAUGUUCCCUCAAACACGAGAAAAAACAACAAUCUUUCCCGACAUGAAAAUGGGCAUAACUCUCUCAUACGACCUCGGAAUGCGACGAUUCUUGUUGCUAUGGUUCUGUAAUUACGAUAUGGAUCUGAUGGUUCAAUCGAAUCACAAAUCAAAGGUCAUUUGCACAAUGUGGUACCCUUUAUGCCAAAAGAAACGACGUCGAAAUAUCAAAUAAGAGCGUGGCACAAUCCAAGCCCAUCUGAAACUCACCCGAGCCCCAUGGGACCCCAAUCAAGUAGACUAACAAGUCCCAAAACAUGAUACGAACUUGCUCGAAGCCUUAAAUUGCCUCUAAGAACACUAGAGUCACGAAUCGCGCAUUGAUUCAAGCAUAAGAAACUUAUGAACUUCUGAAUUCCAAAACUAAUGCAGAUUCAUACCAAACCAACUCCGAUUGACUUCAAAUUUUGGACAGUCAUAAAUGACAGUACAGACCUAUUCCAAUUUCCGGAACCGGUAUCCGACCCCGACAUCAAUAAAGUCAACUCUCGGUCAAACUUUCCAAAAUCUUCCAUUUUUUUCAACUUUCGCCAAUUCAUGCCGAAACGACCUACAGACCUCCAAAUCAACAUCCGCACGCGCUUCUAAGACCAAAAUCACCAUACAGAGCUAUUGGAACCAUCAAAACGCCAUUUCAGAGUCGCCUACACAAAAGUCAAACUCCGGUCAAACUCUUACCGCUUAAACUUCUAAAAUAAGAAUCCUUCUUCCAAACCAAUCCCGAAUCAUCCGAAAUCCGAACUCGACCACGCACGCACGUCAUAACACAUAAUACGAAGCUGCUCGAGACGUUAAGCCACCGAACGGGACGCUAAUCCUCAAAACGACCGGUCGGGUCGUUACAAAAGUACUCUUAAAAUGUUGCGAUAUUAUCCGCUUUAAGCCAAGCCCGUACGAUUUUCCCCAAAAGGCCUCACACCAUUAAGAGUAUCUAACUCCUUAUAAGUAGUUUUUUUUCUACUUUCCAUGUAGGACGUUAUUCACACACCCAACAAAAGUGAGCUAAGUUGUAAUUGCUCUGCAAGUUAGGUUGCACACAUCGUUCUAUUGGAACAUGUAGUAUCCAUUUUAUAAACAGUUUUGAGUAGCCCUAAGGGCCUUUGGCUACUUUGUCCUUUUUUGUUUUCUUUUUUCCUUGUAACUCUUCAAACUUCAAGUUCAAAGUUUGCAUCUCAUGUGAAGACCGUAGG
rnacentral:lncRNA from 1 species